CCGAUCCGAGCCAAACCUAACUGCAUCCAGUAGGAGCCGUGACCACCGAGCCUCCGCUCUCUCUCUCUCGGCCCUCGCUCACUAUAUACCAUAUCUCUAGGGAAACCUAGCUAAGCCGCUCCCUCCUCUCCUCUCGCAACAACAAGACGGAGGAGAGCAAAGCUCUUCUUCCCAAGUAAGCAAGAUAGUGAUCCUAGAGGGAGGGAGGGAGGGCAUGCCAUGUGCUUGGCCUUCCAAGUUCAAAGAGCUAGCUCUUUAGACCAGUGGACAGGUGGGCGAGCGGGAAGGACCGGGGCGUCGCCCACGACGCAGACGAGACCGGCGGCGGCUUAUGGUGGCGCGGUCGAUGAGGACCUGCUGGAUCUCGCCGGAUCUGGUGGGAUGGCGCGCAGGCGGCGGAUCCGGAAGGAAAGCGGCCCGAGCUUGGAGCACGAGGCAUGGCGUGGGAGGACGGGAGGAAGGAGAUGGGAGCGGUGAGGUGCGGCGGUGGUCCCGCUGCUGCUCCUCGCCGGCCAUCGGGUGCGCGGAGGCGUCGACAUCGUUGAGUGGAUCGAGCGAGUGGGCUAAGUUUCGCCGUCGCCUUCGUCCGUUCCCCUUGCUAAACAGAUCUUCUCCUGCUACCUAGGGUUCCCGGCCGCAGGCGCACCUCGGCAGCCAUCGAGGCGACCACUGCCGCCUGCAGGCGGAACGAGGAGGAGACGCCAAGGUGCCGGUGGUGCGCCCGCUGCUGGUGGUGCUCAGCGAGGACGAGUGCCGGAAGGGGCUAAGCGCUUUUUAUCUUCCCUCAGAAACAUAAUUUUAUCUUCUUUCAGAUGUAGGAAUUGAUACGUACGGAUGAACUUAAAGGUAGAAUUUCUAAUCUUAAUCUUGCAGUGUUCAAGAAGGCGCCCAGAAAAUCAAUUGACACCAUCCCUUCUCUGAUUAUGCACACAGAUCAGGAGAGACAUACUGGCCGGGACAAUCUUUAAACCAUGAAGCUACACAAUCUAUUGAAUCGGCCAAUAGGUGGAUAUCGUAAUUAGAAUCAGGGCAUUUCUAUGAAAGUCUAUAUAUCACAGUUAACUACAGGGAGAAAACAAAUGAGACAUUCCCAUUCACAAGUGUUUAUGCUGAACCCAGACUUUUCAGACCAUCAGACCAACCAGUUGCAAUCACGAACGAGCAGCAAAUGUUUGCACUGAACUACUGGGGUAAGGCAGUGAAAUACUUUUUGCUCGCGAGGGUGAAAGUUUGGAACAGAGAAAGAACUGACAACAAAGUAAUGAGGAUGGGGCAUUCGGUGAUCCAGCAUCUGUUCUACCAUCAGGGCUGAUGGCAUUCUUUGGCAAUACUAAGCCGCUUGAUAAAUCCAUGGCAUGAGAUGGGCCUUGGGUAUAAUCCAAGCAUCGAACCUGGGUGAUCCGUGGUGAUACAAUUUAAUGAAAACAUGAACCAUGGCUUGAUGUUGCUUUCAACCAGUACAAGGCUAUGUGGAGAAAGUAUGUAGAUACUGAAAAGGAAUUCCUGACACUAUGUAACUUUGGUCUCUCAAGUAAUUAAAGAAAUUCUCCAAGAAUAAGGCCACCAUCAAUAUAUUUGUUCUUUUAUGGGCAAAA